AGAGUUGAUCAUGGCUCAGGAUGAACGCUGGCGGCGUGCCUAACACAUGCAAGUCGAACGGGGUUAAGGGAAAUUUCGGAUGGAACUUAACUUAGUGGCGGACGGGUGAGUAACGCGUGGAUAACCUGCCUCACACUGGGGGAUAGCAGCUGGAAACGGCUGGUAAUACCGCAUAAGACCCCGGUGCCGCAUGGCACCGAGGUAAAAGAUUUAUCGGUGUGAGAUGGAUCCGCGUCUGAUUAGCCAGUUGGCGAGGUAACGGCCCACCAAAGCGACGAUCAGUAGCCGGCCUGAGAGGGUGAACGGCCACAUUGGGACUGAGACACGGCCCAAACUCCUACGGGAGGCAGCAGUGGGGAAUAUUGCACAAUGGGCGCAAGCCUGAUGCAGCAACGCCCGCGUGAGUGAAGAAGUAUUUCGGUAUGUAAAGCUCUAUCGGCAGGGAAGAAAGGCCCGAAAGGGAGAUGACGGUACCUGACUAAGAAGCCCCGGCUAACUACGUGCCAGCCGCUGC
rnacentral:rRNA from 1 species